GGUCAAGCUACAAAGGGCUGACGGUGGAUUCCUAGGCACACAGAGGCGAAGAAGGACGUGGCGACCGACGAAAUGUCCCGGGGAGCUGGAAGCGAGCAUUGAUCCGGGGGUAUCCGAAUGGGGCAACCCAGAGACUCCUGACUGAAUAAAUAGGUAAAGGAGAGCGAACCCAGCGAAUUGAAACAUCUUAGUAGCUGGAGGAAGAGAAAGCAAAAGCGAUUUUCUAAGUAGCGGUGAGCGAAAGGGAAGAAGCCUAAACCGGGUGUUUUUACACGCGGGGUAGUGGGACAGCAAGAAAGGACUGUAAAGGUUAGACGAAGCAGUUGAAAGCUGCACCAGAGGGGGUGAAAGUCCUGUAGUCUAAAGCCAGAGCAGCCGAGCUGAAUCCCGAGUAGCACGGAGCCCGUGGAAUUCCGUGUGAAUCAGCGAGGACCACCUCGUAAGGCUAAAUACUCCUGUGUGACCGAUAGAGGAAAAGUACCGUGAGGGAAAGGUGAAAAGAACCCCGGAAGGGGAGUGAAAUAGAACGUGAAACCGUCAGCCUACAAGCAGUGGGAGGUCGAUUCAACGACUGACCGCGUGCCUGUUGAAGCAUGAGCCGGCGAGUUAAAGGUAAUGGCAGGUUAAGACUUUUUGAGUUGAAGCCAAAGCGAAAGCGAGUCUGAUAAGGGCGUGAGUCAUUAUUUUUAGACCCGAACCCGGGUGAUCUAACCAUGUCCAGAAUGAAGCUUGGGUAAAGCCAAGUGGAGGUUCGAACCGACCGAUGUUGAAAAAUCGGCGGAUGAGGUGUGGUUAGGGGUGAAAUGCCAAUCGAACCCGGAGCUAGCUGGUUCUCCCCGAAAUGUGUUGAGGCACAGCGGUAAGGGUUUAAUCCUGGGGGUAAAGCACUGUUUCGGUGCGGGCUGCGAGAGCGGUACCAAAUCGAGACAAACUCUGAAUACCAGGUGUAUACCUUACCAGUCAGACGGUGGGGGAUAAGCUUCAUCGUCAAGAGGGAAACAGCCCAGACCACCAGCUAAGGUCCCCAAAUAACCGCUAAGUGAGAAAGGAGGUGGGAGUGCACAGACAACCAGGAGGUUUGCCUAGAAGCAGCCAUCCUUGAAAGAGUGCGUAAUAGCUCACUGGUCAAGCGCUCCUGCGCCGAAAAUGAACGGGGCUAAGCGGUUUACCGAAGCUGUGGACUCAGAAUAUGAGUGGUAGGGGAGCGUUCCGUAGUAGUGAGAAGCACUAGCGGCAAGCAGGUGUGGACGAAACGGAAGUGAGAAUGUCGGCUUAAGUAGCGAAAAUAUGUGUGAGAAUCACAUACCCCGAAACCCUAAGGGUUCCUCCGGACGGUUCGUCCGCGGAGGGUGAGUCAGGGCCUAAGGCGAGGCUGAAGAGCGUAGUCGAUGGAUAACGGGUCAAGAUUCCCGUACUGUUAAUAGUUUGUGAAGAGGGACGGAGUAGGUGUUGGCAAGCCAGAUGUUGGUUACUGGUGUAAGUGUUCAAGGUGAUGAGGUCUGGAGAAAACGGACUGAGCUGAGGCACGAGUCCGAGCUGCUACGGCGGCGAAGUUGCAGGCAUCAAGCUUCCAAGAAAAGCUCUAUACACGUUAAGCUAUUGACACCUGUACCCGAAACCGACACAGGUAGGGAGGUUGAGAAUACCAAGGGGCGCGAGAUAACUCUCUCUAAGGAACUCGGCAAAAUGGCUCCGUAACUUCGGGAGAAGGAGUGCCAGCGAGAGCUGGUCGCAGUGAAGAGGCCCAGGCGACUGUUUACCAAAAACACAGGUCUCCGCCAAGUCGUAAGACGAUGUAUGGGGGCUGACGCCUGCCCAGUGCCGGAAGGUUAAGGAAGUUGGUCAGGGAAACUGAAGCUAGCGACUGAAGCCCCGGUGAACGGCGGCCGUAACUAUAACGGUCCUAAGGUAGCGAAAUUCCUUGUCGGGUAAGUUCCGACCCGCACGAAAGGCGUAACGAUCUGGGCACUGUCUCGGAGAGAGACUCGGCGAAAUAGAAUUGUCUGUGAAGAUACGGACUACCUGCACCUGGACAGAAAGACCCUAUGAAGCUUUACUGUAGCCUGGCAUUGGGUUCGGGCUUUGACUGCGCAGGAUAGGUGGGAGACUUUGAAAUCAUCCUUGUGGGGAUGAUGGAGUCAACGGUGAGAUACCACUCUGUCAGAGCUAGAAUUCUAACUUUGACCCGUUAUCCGGGCAAAAGACAGUUUCAGGUGGGCAGUUUGACUGGGGCGGUCGCCUCCUAAAAGGUAACGGAGGCGCGCAAAGGUUCUCUCAGGCUGGUUGGAAAUCAGCCGCUGAGUGCAAAGGCAUAAGAGAGCUUGACUGCGAGAGAUACAACUCAAGCAGGAUGGAAACAUGGUCUUAGUGAUCCGACGGUGCUGUGUGGAAAGGCCGUCGCUCAACGGAUAAAAGUUACUCUAGGGAUAACAGGCUGAUCUCCCCCAAGAGUUCACAUCGACGGGGAGGUUUGGCACCUCGAUGUCGGCUCGUCGCAACCUGGGGCUGAAGUCGGUCCCAAGGGUUGGGCUGUUCGCCCAUUAAAGCGGCACGUGAGCUGGGUUCAGAACGUCGUGAGACAGUUCGGUCCAUAUCCGGUGCAGGCGCAAGAGCAUUGAGAGGAUUCCUCCCUAGUACGAGAGGACCGGGAGGAACGCACCGCUGGUGUACCUGUUAUCGUGCCAACGGUAAACGCAGGGUAGCUAUGUGCGGAGCGGAUAACCGCUGAAAGCAUCUAAGUGGGAAGCCCACCUCAAGAUGAGUGCUCUCAUGGGGUUAACCCAGUAAGGUCACGGGUAGACUACCCGUUGAUAGGUGCUCGGUGGAAGUGCAGCAAUGUAUGCAGCCAAGGCACACUAAUAGACCGAGGGCUUGACCUU
rnacentral:rRNA from 1 species